UACGGAGGAUCCAAGCGUUAUCCGGAUUUAUUGGGUUUAAAGGGUGCGUAGGCGGCCAUUUAAGUCAGAGGUGAAAGACGGUAGCUCAACUAUCGCAGUGCCUUUGAUACUGAGUGGCUUGAAUGAACUAGAGGUAGGCGGAAUGAGACAAGUAGCGGUGAAAUGCAUAGAUAUGUCUCAGAACACCGAUUGCGAAGGCAGCUUACUAUGGUUUAAUUGACGCUGAGGCACGAAAGCGUGGGGACCAAACAGG
rnacentral:rRNA from 1 species